ensembl:misc_RNA Metazoa_SRP Metazoan signal recognition particle RNA
GCUGGGCGUGGUGGCGCGUGCCUGUAGUCCCAGCUACUUGGGAGGCUGAGGCAGGAGAAUCACUUGAACCCAGGAGGUGGAGGUUGCAGUGAGCUGAGAUCACGCCACUGCACUCCAGCCUGGGUGACAGAGUGAGACUCCAUCUCAA